rfam:Acidobacteria bacterium 13_1_40CM_56_16 13_1_40cm_scaffold_953, whole genome shotgun sequence.
GGGCGGUUAGCUCAAUUGGCAGAGCGUGCGGUUUACACCCGCAAGGUCAUAGGUUCGAGCCCUAUACCGCCCA